rnacentral:lncRNA from 1 species
GUCUCAGACUAGGAUUCCCCAAAUAGAUGCUUUGGUUUGGUCUUUAGGCUUAUCCUCAACAUUUAAAAGGCAGAUAAAUAGUAGAGAACACUGCCAAAAUGUGUUUCUUCUUUGAAUAAUCAGAGGCACAGAUGAUAUUAGUAGAAAUUUCCUCUGUGAUUAGAGUUUUCUCCACUGUGCCACACGUGAUUGUGAGAGAAAGAAGAGAAAUGGUCCGUGGAGUUGAGGGUAGAAGAGAGAAUAUAGCAAGCCCUUAAAGAACAAGCAAACCAGUGGAAGGCAGAAUGAGCAAUACAAGGGCUUUUCAGGUGGAGCCAUUUCCUGAAGGAAGAGGAAAGCAUAUCGUGAAUUUCUUCUACAGAACUUCCCAGCACCUCCCCAGGCCUUCGGGUCUCUGCUCCUGAAAACAACCACCCUCUUCAUGCAUACUGCCUCCUCCUGUCAUUUUAAUAUCUUUGGAUGGGUUUCUUCUCUCAAUACAACCAACUUUUGUGAGGACAGAGAACUUAUUAACGUGAACUGAUAAGCUCCCCAGCAUGGAGCUAAAUGUUAUUUAGAAAUCUG